rnacentral:rRNA from 1 species
AGUCGUAACAAGGUUUCCGUAGGUGAACCUGCGGAAGGAUCAUUACCGAGUUUUCGAGCUUCGGCUCGACUCUCCCACCCUUUGUGAACGUACCUCUGUUGCUUUGGCGGCUUCGGCCGCCAAAGGACCUUCAAACUCCAGUCAGUAAACGCAGACGUCUGAUAAACAAGUUAAUAAACUAAAACUUUCAACAACGGAUCUCUUGGUUCUGGCAUCGAUGAAGAACGCAGCGAAAUGCGAUAAGUAAUGUGAAUUGCAGAAUUCAGUGAAUCAUCGAAUCUUUGAACGCACAUUGCGCCCCUUGGUAUUCCGGGGGGCAUGCCUGUUCGAGCGUCAUUACAACCCUCAAGCUCUGCUUGGAAUUGGGCACCGUCCUCACUGCGGACGCGCCUCAAAGACCUCGGCGGUGGCUGUUCAGCCCUCAAGCGUAGUAGAAUACACCUCGCUUUGGAGCGGUUGGCGUCGCCCGCCGGACGAACCUUCUGAACUUUUCUCAAGGUUGACCUCGGAUCAGGUAGGGAUACCCGCUGAACUUAAGCAUAUCAAUAAGCGGAGGAAAAGAAACCAACAGGGAUUGCCUUAGUAACUG